rnacentral:rRNA from 1 species
AAGGGGAGCAAUCCCUGAGUAGAGUGGCAAACGGGUGAGUAACACGUGGGUGACCUGCCUCAGAGUGGGGGAUAACGUCCCGAAAGGGACGCUAAUACCGCAUAACAUCCUGCCUUUGGAAAGGCGGAGAUCGAAGCCGGGGAUCGCAAGACCUGGCGCUUGGAGAGGGGCCCGCGUCUGAUUAGCUAGUUGGUAGGGUAAUGGCCUACCAAGGCGACGAUCAGUAUCCGGCCUGAGAGGGCGGACGGACACACUGGGACUGAGACACGGCCCAGACUCCUACGGGAGGCAGCAGUGGGGAAUUGUUCGCAAUGGGCGCAAGCCUGACGACGCAACGCCGCGUGGAGGAUGAAGAUCUUCGGG